AGAGUUUGAUCCUGGCUCAGGAUGAACGCUAGCGGGAGGCCUAACACAUGCAAGCCGAGCGGUAUAGAAUCUUCGGAUUUUAGAGAGCGGCGUACGGGUGCGGAACACGUGUGCAACCUACCUUUAUCUGGAGGAUAGCCUUUCGAAAGGAAGAUUAAUACUCCAUAAUAUAUUGAUUGGCAUCAAUUAAUAUUGAAAGCUCAGGCGGAUAGAGAUGGGCACGCGCAAGAUUAGUUAGUUGGUGAGGUAACGGCUCACCAAGACGAUGAUCUUUAGGGGGCCUGAGAGGGUGAUCCCCACACUGGUACUGAGACACGGACCAGACUCCUACGGGAGGCAGCAGUGAGGAAUAUUGGACAAUGGGUGCAAGCCUGAUCCAGCCAUCCCGCGUGAAGGACGACUGCCUAUGGGUUGUAAACUUCUUUUGUAUAGGGAUAAACCUCUCCUCGUGAGGAGAGCUGAAGGUACUAUACGAAUAAGCACCGGCUAACUCCGUG
rnacentral:rRNA from 1 species